rnacentral:rRNA from 1 species
GAACGCUAGCUACAGGCUUAACACAUGCAAGUCGAGGGGCAUCAGGAAGAAAGCUUGCUUUCUUUGUUGGCGACCGGCGCACGGGUGAGUAACACGUAUCCAACCUGCCCUUUACUCGGGGAUAGCCUUUCGAAAGAAAGAUUAAUACCCGAUAGCAUAAUGAUUCCGCAUGGUUUCAUUAUUAAAGGAUUCCGGUAAAGGAUGGGGAUGCGUUCCAUUAGGUUGUUGGUGAGGUAACGGCUCACCAAGCCUUCGAUGGAUAGGGGUUCUGAGAGGAAGGUCCCCCACAUUGGAACUGAGACACGGUCCAAACUCCUACGGGAGGCAGCAGUGAGGAAUAUUGGUCAAUGGGCGCUAGCCUGAACCAGCCAAGUAGCGUGAAGGAUGAAGGCUCUAUGGGUCGUAAACUUCUUUUAUAUAAGAAUAAAGUGCAGUAUGUAUACUGUUUUGUAUGUAUUAUAUGAAUAAGGAUCGGCUAACUCCGUGCCAGCAGCCGCGGUAAUACGGAGGAUCCGAGCGUUAUCCGGAUUUAUUGGGUUUAAAGGGAGCGUAGGUGGACUGGUAAGUCAGUUGUGAAAGUUUGCGGCUCAACCGUAAAAUUGCAGUUGAUACUGUCAGUCUUGAGUACAGUAGAGGUGGGCGGAAUUCGUGGUGUAGCGGUGAAAUGCUUAGAUAUCACGAAGAACUCCGAUUGCGAAGGCAGCUCACUGGACUGCAACUGACACUGAUGCUCGAAAGUGUGGGUAUCAAACAGGAUUAGAUACCCUGGUAGUCCACACAGUAAACGAUGAAUACUCGCUGUUUGCGAUAUACAGUAAGCGGCUAAGCGAAAGCAUUAAGUAUUCCACCUGGGGAGUACGCCGGCAACGGUGAAACUCAAAGGAAUUGACGGGGGCCCGCACAAGCGGAGGAACAUGUGGUUUAAUUCGAUGAUACGCGAGGAACCUUACCCGGGCUUAAAUUGCAGUGGAAUGAUGUGGAAACAUGUCAGUGAGCAAUCACCGCUGUGAAGGUGCUGCAUGGUUGUCGUCAGCUCGUGCCGUGAGGUGUCGGCUUAAGUGCCAUAACGAGCGCAACCCUUAUCUUUAGUUACUAACAGGUUAUGCUGAGGACUCUGGAGAGACUGCCGUCGUAAGAUGUGAGGAAGGUGGGGAUGACGUCAAAUCAGCACGGCCCUUACGUCCGGGGCUACACACGUGUUACAAUGGGGGGUACAGAAGGCAGCUAGCGGGUGACCGUAUGCUAAUCCCAAAAGCCUCUCUCAGUUCGGAUCGAAGUCUGCAACCCGACUUCGUGAAGCUGGAUUCGCUAGUAAUCGCGCAUCAGCCACGGCGCGGUGAAUACGUUCCCGGGCCUUGUACACACCGCCCGUCAAGCCAUGGGAGCCGGGGGUACCUGAAGUACGUAACCGCAAGGAUCGUCCUAGGGUAAAACUGGUGACUGGGGC